rnacentral:rRNA from 1 species
UACGGAGGGUGCAAGCGUUGCUCGGAAUUAUUGGGCGUAAAGGGUAGGUAGGUGGUCUCAUUUGUCUGGGGUGAAAGCCUUGAGCUUAACUCAAGAAGUGCCCCAGAAACGGUGAGACUAGAGUCCUGGAGAGGGUCGUGGAAUUCCCGGUGUAGCGGUGAAAUGCGUAGAGAUGCGGAGGAACACCGAUGGCGAAGGCAGCCCCCUGGGCUAGCACUGACGCUCAGGCACGAAAGCGUGGGGAGCAAACAGG